CGCUAUGCUGCAUCUAGUCAGU
ensembl:ncRNA